rnacentral:rRNA from 1 species
GGACGGGUGAGUAACGCGUGGGUAACCUACCCCAAAGUCCGGGAUAACAGCGGGAAACCGCUGCUAAUACCGGAUGCCUUUACCUUGGGGCAUCUUGAGGUAAAGAAAGGCAACGCUUUGGGAUGGGCCCGCGUCCCAUUAGCUAGUUGGUGAGGUAACGGCUCACCAAGGCGACGAUGGGUAGCCGGCCUGAGAGGGUGGACGGCCACACUGGGACUGAGACACGGCCCAGACUCCUACGGGAGGCAGCAGUAGGGAAUAUUGCGCAAUGGACGGAAGUCUGACGCAGCGACGCCGCGUGAGCGAUGAAGGUCUUCGGAUCGUAAAGCUCUGUCCUUGGGGAAGAAGGUCUUCGGACUUGACGGUACCCAAGAAGAAAGCCCCGGCUAACUACGUGCCAGCAGCCGCGGUAAUACGUAGGGGGCGAGCGUUGUCCGGAAUUACUGGGCGUUAAG